CCUACGGGUGGCUGCAGUGGGGAAUAUUGCACAAUGGGGGAAACCCUGAUGCAGCGACGCCGCGUGAGUGAAGAAGUAUUUCGGUAUGUAAAGCUCUGUCAGCAGGGAAGAAAAUGACGGUACCUGACCAAGAAGCCCCGGCUAACUACGUGCCAGCAGCCGCGGUAAUACGUAGGGGGCAAGCGUUAUCCGGAUUUACUGGGUGUAAAGGGAGCGUAGACGGCAGGGCAAGUCUGGGGUGAAAGGCGGGGGCCAAACCCCCGGACUGCUCUGGAAACUGCCAGGCUGGAGGGCAGAGAGGUAAGUGGAAUUCCUAGUGUAGCGGUGAAAUGCGUAGAUAUUAGGAGGAACACCAGUGGCGAAGGCGGCUUACUGGACUGUAACUGACGUUGAGGCUCGAAAGCGUGGGGAGCAAACAGGAUUAGAUACCCCAGUAGUC
rnacentral:rRNA from 1 species